rnacentral:rRNA from 1 species
AUUGCAGGCUGCAACUCGCCUGCAUGAAGUUGGAAUUGCUAGUAAUCGCGAAUCAGAAUGUCGCGGUGAAUACGUUCCCGGGCCUUGUACACACCGCCCGUCACACCAUGAGAGUCGAUAACACCCGAAGCCUGUGAGCUAACCGUAAGGAGGCAGCAGUCGAAGGUGGGGUUGAUGAUUGGGGUGAAGUCGUAACAAGGUAUC